rnacentral:rRNA from 1 species
GGACUACACGGGUAUCUAAUCCCGUUCGCUACCCACGCUUUCGUGCUUGAGUGUCAGGAACGCGCCAGUACAUUGCCUUCGCUUUCGGUGUUCCCCAUGAUAUCAACGGAUUUCACCCCUACACCAUGAGUUCCAUGUACCUCUCACGCCCUCAAGUCGUGCCGUUUCGCCCGCGUGUUCCCGGUUGAGCCGGAAGAUUUGACGGACGACUAACACGACCACCUACGCACCCUUUACGCCCAAUAAUUCCGGGUAAUGCUCGGGGCCUCUGUAUUACCGCGGCUGCUGGCAC